GGGCUCACUGAGGCAGCAUAUAUACCAAAAUAGGAAUGAUAAAGAGAAGAUUAGCAUAGCCGUGAGCAAGAAUGACACAAAAAUUCACAAAGCAUUCCAUAUUUCU